rnacentral:miRNA from 1 species
UGAUGAUGAUGAUGAUGAUGAUGAUGAUUAUGAUGAUGAUGAUGAUGAUGAUGAUGAUGAUGAUUAUGAUGAUGAUGAUGAUCAUCAUUUUCUGCU